rnacentral:rRNA from 1 species
AGGUGUGAUCAUACCAACGUUAAUGCACCGGAUCCUAUCGGAACUCCGUAGUUAAGAAGGCUUGGGCUAGAGUAGUACUGGGAUGGUUGACCUCCCAGGAAGUCCUAGUGUUGCACCCU